rnacentral:rRNA from 1 species
UAGGGAAUAUUGGGCAAUGGGUGAGAGCCUGACCCAGCCAUGCCGCGUGCCGGAAGACGGCCCUUCGGGUUGUAAACGGCUUUUAUACAGGAACAAAACGGUCGUGCGCGAUCAAUUGCGUGUACUGUAAGAAUAAGCACCGGCUAACUCCGUGCCAGCAGCCGCGGUAAUACGGAGGGUGCCAGCGUUGUCCGGAUUUAUUGGGUUUAAAGGGUACGUAGGCGGAAGGCUAAGUCCGGGGUGAAAGCCCGCAGCUCAACUGCGGAACUGCCCUGGAUACUGGUCAUCUUGAGUGCCGUAGAGGUAGGCGGAAUUCAUGGUGUAGCGGUGAAAUGCAUAGAUACCAUGAGGAACACCGAUAGGGAAGCCAGCUUACUAGACGGUGACUGACGCUGAGGUACGAAAGCGUGGGGAGCGAACAGGAUUAGAUACCCCCGUAGUCC